rnacentral:rRNA from 1 species
CUUGAGGCGUGGCUUCCGGAGCUAACGCGUUAAGUCGACCGCCUGGGGAGUACGGCCGCAAGGUUAAAACUCAAAUGAAUUGACGGGGGCCCGCACAAGCGGUGGAGCAUGUGGUUUAAUUCGAUGCAACGCGAAGAACCUUACCUGGUCUUGACAUCCACAGAACUUGCCAGAGAUGGAUUGGUGCCUUCGGGAACUGUGAGACAGGUGCUGCAUGGCUGUCGUCAGCUCGUGUUGUGAAAUGUUGGGUUAAGUCCCGCAACGAGCGCAACCCUUAUCCUUUGUUGCCAGCGGUUAGGCCGGGAACUCAAAGGAGACUGCCAGUGAUAAACUGGAGGAAGGUGGGGAUGACGUCAAGUCAUCAUGGCCCUUACGACCAGGGCUACACACGUGCUACAAUGGCGCAUACAAAGAGAAGCAAUCUCGCGAGAGCAAGCGGACCUCAUAAAGUGCGUCGUAGUCCGGAUUGGAGUCUGCAACUCGACUCCAUGAAGUCGGAAUCGCUAGUAAUCGUGAAUCAGAAUGUCACGGUGAAUACGUUCCCGGGCCUUGUACACACCGCCCGUCACACCAUGGGAGUGGGUUGCAAAAGAAGUAGGUAGCUUAACCUUCGGGAGGGCGCUUACCACUUUGUGAUUCAUGACUGGGGUGAAGUC